GAUGGCCGCGCCGGCUUCCCGCCGCUGUCAAGGCCUUCCGCGCCAAUGUCCGCCAGGCCAACUACUUCCUCUUUGGCGGCGAUCAAGUCGGGGGCGGCGAUCAAGCCCUGAACCCCACCAGGCCACCCGCCUCGAUCGGCUGACCACUAGGCAUGCAGGCAGGAGGACAUGAAAGGGCCAAUAUCAACAGCUGCCAUCGGAAGGUCGAGAGCGGCGAGGGCGCGUGGUGCUCCGAGAAGGCCGACUCCAGGGACGUGGUCGACAGCGAGGACUGCAGCGUCGGGUGCAGCCUGCAGUUCGCGUAUAAGUCCAAGAACGGCGAGAGGUCGUCGGAGUGGUUGGUACAUGGUGGAGUUCCGCGACGACGAUAGGGAAGAUGGCCAGGGCUGUGGCGGCAAACAACCAGCAGUGCUUAUUUGCAAGAUCUACCAGAGACACCCCACACGCGUCGCGCCGAUGGGCCCGCGUCCAAGUCAUCGGCGGCGUCAGCUCAUCCUGCGCCGGAGAACCACUGCGGGACAAACAUUAUGGCAGUGGCGGCGGUUCAGGAAUUCCACUGCGCGCACUGGGUGCUGAGAGCUCUGAUUCUUGGAUAGGUGGUAGCGCUAGCAAUGGAUUUCUUGCCGUAUGUGAGCGGCCCGCCCUCUGCUCCUGAUCUGCCGUCAGCGUCGUCUUCUCUGCACGGUGGCCCGGACUUCACGGAGAUUUUGAUUGGUGCAGAUUAUGAGCGCUCCAUGACUUGUCUGAAUGUUUUGUUUCCGCUAAUGAGUGACCAUGACUGAGACCUUGGCAUCUUUUGAAGUUCUUUGGCAUCUUUGCUAGUUGCUCCGAAUAGAAGUGUAAUCAUCUGGUAAUGUUGCCCAGACUCCAGAGACUUGCUGAAAGUUCAAAUUUUUAUUGAGUCUGAAUUUUGGGGCGUUUAUGCGA